CAAGUUUUCUAAGUAGUAGUGCCGCAGGUAGCAGAUUUUAGUUACUCCUUGUACACAUCUGCUUAAAAAACUUG
rnacentral:pre_miRNA from 1 species